AGUGAACGCUGGCGGUAGGCCUAACACAUGCAAGUCGAACGGCAGCACAGUAAGAGCUUGCUCUUACGGGUGGCGAGUGGCGGACGGGUGAGGAAUACAUCGGAAUCUACUUUUUCGUGGGGGAUAACGUAGGGAAACUUACGCUAAUACCUCAUACGACCUACGGGUGAAAGCAGGGGAUCUUCGGACCUUGCGCGAUUGAAUGAGCCGAUGUCGGAUUAGCUAGUUGGCGGGGUAAAGGCCCACCAAGGCGACGAUCCGUAGCUGGUCUGAGAGGAUGAUCAGCCACACUGGAACUGAGACACGGUCCAGACUCCUACGGGAGGCAGCAGUGGGGAAUAUUGGACAAUGGGCGCAAGCCUGAUCCAGCCAUACCGCGUGGGUGAAGAGGGCCUUCGGGUUGUAAAGCCCUUUUGUUGGGAAAGAAAAGCAGCAGGUUAAUACCCCGCUGUUCUGACGGUACCCAAAGAAUAAGCACCGGCUAACUUCGUG
rnacentral:rRNA from 1 species